GCCAGGCAUGGUGGCACAUGCCUGCAGUCCCAGCUACUAGGGAGGUUGAGGCAGGAGGAUCACUUGAGCCCAGGAGGUCAAGGCUGCAGUGAUCCCUGAUUGUGCCACUGCACUCCAGCCUGGGUGACAGAGUGAGACCCUGUCUCAC
rnacentral:SRP_RNA from 1 species